rnacentral:lncRNA from 1 species
UGUUAUAAAUGGUAUCAGAGCCGAGGACGGCUCUUGUCCGAUGGUGGGAAGGGUGUGAGGCCCAAUAGUCCCACAUCGGAAAGACUCGUUCCAGAGCCUGGGCAUAUGAGGCGGGUGACUCCAAAUCCUGCAGACGCGUUUUGGGUGGAAAAUAAAACCGGAGAGGGGUGAAGGACGCUUGCGUGAAGCCCCGGAACCGGACAAUAUCUGGCAGGGGAGCCCCGCGGUCCCCCCUCAUGUGGCCCCCACGUGGGCACUGGGUGCCUCACGUGCUCCGCAGAAGCGGGGGCGUGACAUUUGGUAUCAGAGC